rnacentral:rRNA from 1 species
GACGGAGGAUGCAAGUGUUAUCCGGAAUCACUGGGCGUAAAGCGUCUGUAGGUGGUUCGAAAAGUCCACUGUUAAAAAUUGAGGCUUAACUUCAAAGAUGCCGUGGAAACUUUCAAACUAGAGUAUGGUAGGGGUAGAGGGAAUCUCCAGUGGAGCGGUGAAAUGCGUAGAUAUUGGAAAGACCACCGAUGGCGAAGGCACUCUACUGGGCCAUUACUGACACUGAGAGACGAAAGCUAGGGGAGCAAAUGGG